rnacentral:snoRNA from 1 species
CCCCUCCAGAUUCCUUACCCAUCAGAGCUACACACUGGUCAGCAUGUGACAAAGGGGGGAAAGUAAGACUGAGAAACAGACUUCAAUGCUUUUGUGGCACAGAAACUAGUUUCAAACAAUG